UCGAGAUAAACUCGAUCCCAGCUCAUUCUUACUCGUUCUUUCUUUCUUCUUCUUCUUCUUCUCGUUUUCUCUGGUGAUUUUGUGAGAUGAUUCUGAGGUCGAAUUGAAGUGAAACUUAGGGUAAACAUUAGGAUUUGAUUACUGGUGGUGGUGUUGAUGUUAUAUGAGCUUGGGAGAAGAAGGAGGGAUGCUGUUGAAUCAAUUAGGAUUCUGUUCUUGAGUUGGAAGAGUGAUUACGAGGGGUUUUGAGUUUCUUUUAGAUGAAGAAUCGAAUGGGUUGGUGUUUAAUUAAAGUUCUGAAGCUGUUCUUAUGAAGAAUCACAGAACCAGGGAAUAUUUGUAUGAACUGAGAAAUUGUGUGUGGCUGGUAUUGAAGUUUUAGUUAUGAAUUUCCGAGUUGAACUGUAGGUGAUGAUGUUUAGCUAGAUGGUCUGAGUUAAGUGAGAUAGCAAUUCAUGAGCUGUUGAGAUGACAAUAUUGAACUUGAACUGAACUCAAGAAAUGAGGAUGUAUAACAGAUGCAGGUAUGAAGACAUGAAGUCAAUGAAUUUGAACUGAAAUUGCAGAUGUAGAGCAUAAAUGUUCUGUUGGUGUUUAUUGUGUUGAACUGAUAAAGAGGAAUUGAUCUCAGUGGCUUGAGCAAGCUAAAUCAAGUGCUAUUUCAGGUGGAGGUCUUGAAAAUGUGCUAGUGAUGAAUGUGAUAGUAGAACUAUGUAGACCUGCAGUCUAUUGAGAAGGAUUGGUGAUAAUUGUUGCUGGGAUUGAUGUGGAGUUUUAUGUGUAUGGAGAGGAUGAUGAAGUCAAGUAUGAGCAGUUAGUGGUGGUGGUGGUGUUAAUGCAAAAAGAAUGUAGUUGAGUUACAAAUGUACACAAGGAAGGAUUGAUGAAUUACAGAGAAUGAAGCUAGUAUUGUAGUGAUUGUUAUGCUAAUGCUGUGGUGCUGAAGUGCAGUGGAAUAUGUUAAUGAAAUGCAACUGAAUUAUGAAGUGAUGGGUUAUUAUGAAUGGUGAUAAAUCUGCGGUUGUUCUCCAAUGACAAAAAUGGAUAUGUAAACAAGAUUGCAGUUAGAGAUAGUUUGAGUUAGAACUAAGGAGUUGUAUUGCUGAAGUUGUUGUUAGUGAUAAUAAUUGUAUGAAUUCUUGUUUGUUGAAAUUUAAACCUAUUAGUCAUCUUAGUCAGUUAAA